CCUACGGGUGGCAGCAGUGAGGAAUAUUGGUCAAUGGGCGCGAGCCUGAACCAGCCAAGUAGCGUGAAGGAUGACUGCCCUACGGGUUGUAAACUUCUUUUAUAAAGGAAUAAAGUGCGGCACGUGUGCCUUUUUGUAUGUACUUUAUGAAUAAGGCUCGGCUAACUCCGUGCCAGCAGCCGCGGUAAUACGGAGGCUCCGAGCGUUAUCCGGAUUUAUUGGGUUUAAAGGGAGCGUAGGUGGGUUUUUAAGUCAGUUGUGAAAGUUUGCGGCUCAACCGUAAAAUUGCAAUUGAUACUGGCAGGCUUGAGUACGGGUGAGGUAGGCGGAAUUCGUGGUGUAGCGGUGAAAUGCUUAGAUAUCACGAAGAACUCCGAUUGCGAAGGCAGCUUACUAAACUGCCACUGACGUUGAUGCUCGAAAGUGUGGGUAUCAAACAGGAUUAGAUACCCUGGUAGUC
rnacentral:rRNA from 1 species